ACUCCGUGAAGCUGGAUUCGCUAGUAAUCGCGCAUCAGCCAUGGCGCGGUGAAUACGUUCCCGGGCCUUGUACACACCGCCCGUCAAGCCAUGGGAGCCGGGGGUGCCUGAAGUUCGUGACCGCAAGGAGCGACCUAGGGCAAAACUGGUGACUGGGGCUAAGUCGUAACAAGGUACC
rnacentral:rRNA from 1 species